rnacentral:rRNA from 1 species
GACGAACGCUGGCGGCGUGCCUAAUACAUGCAAGUAGAACGCUGAGGACUGGUGCUUGCACUGGUCUAAGGAGUUGCGAACGGGUGAGUAACGCGUAGGUAACCUACCUCAUAGCGGGGGAUAACUAUUGGAAACGAUAGCUAAUACCGCAUGACAAUAGGGUACACAUGUACCCUAUUUAAAAGGGGCAAAUGCUUCACUAUGAGAUGGACCUGCGUUGUAUUAGCUAGUUGGUAAGGUAACGGCUUACCAAGGCGACGAUGCAUAGCCGAGUUGAGAGACUGAUCGGCCACAUUGGGACUGAGACACGGCCCAA